CAUCCACAUAUAUCCACCCAUUCCAUCUCCAGAAUCACCCAAAAAUAUUCUACUCCUAAUCCGGGAGAGAAUAACCAAAAAUAUUUUCUGUUUUCCCUUGUGAAAUAAAUGCUCAAGUUAUCUUGUUACUACCACUUGCUAUAUUAUCUCAAGAGAUGAGUGCUCUAAAAAAAAGAGAAAUAAUACGAGGAAAUAAAAAGGAGCAAGUGCUCGGAACCUCAAAAGAAAAGAAAAAGUGAGACGAGAGGUAAAAAUGGACAAGUGUCCGACAGUAGAAUUAGGGGUGCAAGAUACCCACC
rnacentral:lncRNA from 1 species